ensembl:lncRNA
GGUCCUUCGUCUCCUCACCUCCGGGCCUUCGUCUCCUCACCUCAGGUCCUUUGUCUCCUCACCUCAGGUCCCUUCGUCUCCUCACCUCAGGUCCCUUCGUCUCCUCACCUCAGGUCCUUCGUCUCCUCACCUCAGGGCCUUCGUCCCCUCACCUCAGGUCCCUUCGUCUCCUCACCUCAGGUCCCUUCGUCUCCUCACCUCAGGGCCUUCGUCUCCUCACCUCAGGUCCCUUCGUCUCCUCACCUCAGGUCCUUCGUCUCCUCACCUCAGGUCCCUUCGUCUCCUCACCUCAGGUCCGAUCGUUUCCACGCGGCUCCUCUGAGGUGCUUCUCUCGACUCUGAGCGUUCGCAAUCCGGAGGAAUAUCCAAAUCCUCCCGCCUCACUUCUUCUAAAAAUACCACUUCAUUAAAGCCGGCGACUGUCACCGUAUCAGACGGCGCUGUGGUCGUCUGCCCCACCUCCGCUCUACGCCGACUCCGCCCGUCUGGGGCCCUAAAUGAGGCCUUUCUGGCUCCAGACGUGUGGUAAACCCGGAGAGCAGACUUUAAUCCGUCCCUGCAGAAAGGGGGACCACACAGACUCUGCACACUGGAUCCGUGCCGUCUGACUCCCACACCACAUUUACAGACAGUGAUUCAGCCCGGGGAGGUGUUUCCCCCCACCCGGGACCGCUCGCGAAUCAAGCGCUCCUUCUCUCCCCCCAACCCGGCAGACUUUCCUCCUGUCUCGCGGCGUCUCACGGAUCCACAGUCUCCGCUCAUCAAAGCUCUUCCAUAAACGGAUUUUUCGAGCUUUGUUGGCGUCCGCGCCGCGCCGCCGCAUUCCUGCCUCCCAAACAGCCGGGGAGGUAUGCGAGGAAUGUGAGCAAUGCAGCAGGCGUGUGACGACAGCGGCACAUUCGGGAACCUGUGAGUUCGCUCAGGCUCAGAGGGGAAACAAACAGCCCGAGAAAUCCAAACAGGAAACAAAGGGAGACGCGAGGAAUCAAUGAGGCUCUCGUGCAGGAAACCUGCUCUUAUAGAGAGAAGAAACACAACAGAGAACUGACACUUAAUGAGGAGAAGAUCUUGAUGUUUCUGCAGGUCAGCGGGCAGCAGGGGGUCGAGGGGGAGGGGCUUGUUUCUGCCGAAGCGUCUCUGCUGAAGCCGAGCGGGUCUUUCGUCUUUGUGUUUGUCUUCAUCUGAUUCAACGUUAAGGUCUCCUUCCGAUUUGUUCCUGUUAGAUCUGAUCGCUGGUCAGUUUAGAUCCCCGUGAGGAGCUCGGCGACCCGUCCUUCUCCCGGCUGACCUCUGACCCCUCCGACCCCCUCAGAGCUGCGUGGGAUUCACACCUUCACAGAUGCACAAGCUGUGAACUCAGAGGCGUCGGCGGUGAAGCUCUCUUCACACCCGUCGAUCGGCGAUUCAACACCAGCAAUUAAACUUGAUAUUGUGCUUUUUUAUUUAUGUAUAUUGCAUAUGUUUUCUUAAUUUCUCUUUCAUUUCAUGUCAAUUAACUGAAACUCUCUGUUUUUGAUCGUUGGUUGAAAACAACAAAACAUUUGACAUUUUAAUGGCAUUUAUUGACAUUUUAAGAAAUAUUAAUCAAGAAAACAAUUGAAUCAGAUUCAAUGAAGAGACAAUUAGUUAUUGUUUGUUAUAAAGAGGUUUGGCCUUUCUACAUAACUAAUAGUGUUAACAGCAUAAAUGACCUUGACCUUUGAUUGUGGAUUCUUUGUGACAUUAAAGGUGGAGGUGAGGCGCUGGAGGAAUGUGAAGAAUGUGGAGUCACAUCAGUUCCACCUGUUCACAGCGGAACCUGAAGGCACCACACGGUUAAACUCAGAUUAAAGUUCUUUAUUCAAGACGUGUAUCAGUGUGUGUGUGUGUGUGUGUGUUUGUCAGCGUCUGUGUGUGACAGCUGAGCACGCCGUGACUUCUGGGGGUCGUGACCUCCGCUGACCUCCAUCAAGUCCUCAAUGGGGGGAAGCUUCCCAGGUGGUCGGAGCACUCGGGGGAUCCUCCUCUCACACUUCACCGGGUGGUGAGUUCUCUGUUGAUGGAGCUGACAGCCGUUAGCCGGGUUUACCUGAGGCUCAGGUGAGCCGCUUCACCUCCACCCUGACAUUAAAAUACUUACUACACCUUCGACCUCACAUCCACCUCCCAGGCGGAUAGACGUCUGAUACGGAAAAGACUAAACUCGAAAGCAUCUCUUCUGAGUUCACGUGGU